UUUGUUGAAUUUCAAACAAAAUUAAUUGUAAAUAAAUAAAUAAAUAAAAUAAAAUAAAUCGUGUUAGGGCAUCUGUGUCUUGUUGCUGUCACUUUUUAAAAAAAAGUUUUCUGCAUUAAAAAAAAAAUUUGGGGUCGCAACCAGACCGGCCCAUUUGGUGCCGGCCCAUUGGGCAUUUGCCCGUUUGUCCAAAUAGCCAGUCCGCCCCUGAUAAGAUGUGUUUAUUUAGGCUACUAGAUAUUAGACGAUCACAACAAACAUAAAUGUCUUAUGUUCUUUAUGAGUUCAUUUAGCUCUGGUUUGCAGGGUUCACUGUCGCUGCUACUGCCUUCCACUAAUAUACAGGGUUCGUACACAACUCUUUCCAGUUUCAUCACAAGACUUCUUCCUGACCAGACAACCUUCACUGCUUCGCACAUGUGUUCACAACUCCUCGUCAGAGCUACACACUGAAUUUAUGUUUCAUCAUUUGUAAAAGAGUUUGUGUACAAGAUCGUCUGGUCAUUAUUACCCCCACACACACACACACGUUAACAAACACAAGAACUAUUGUGUUAAGUGAGUUGUUCUCAGCAACUGGAUGUCAGUUUAUCUAGAGCCGUCUUGUUGACCCGAAUGUCUCUCUAGACUGGAUAUUUUUUUUACUUUACAGGUCUUGAAACAUGAAAAGAUGAUGACCGACAGCGCAAAACUGCCAUUGGACAUUGUGGUUAAAGUUAAGUUAGUUUUUAAUAUAUCUUUAUGCAACUUGUUUAUUGAUCUUAAUAAUCUUUCCUCCAUUUUCUAAGACCUGUAUAAAUAAACAAUGACCUAGGGGAAGGUGGGGUGAAAUGUCACAAGGGUAAGUUGUCACAAACACUAUAUCAGUACAAUGUGAUGCGCCAUCAAAAAUGUGAAACUACAGCUGAAAUGUUUACGGAAACAUUUACAAAUAGUUAUAAAAUGAAGUCGAUACCUUUUCGCAUUUUAAAAUUAUCAUCAUUCAUUGUUUUUGACUGUUCGGAAAGUGGAAUUUUACUUUUGUGUAAUUUUGUUGAAAAACACUUAUAAUUUUGAGAUGAUUGUCUAACAUUACAUUGUUUCAUGUCUCUGUGUAUUAGUUACACAUUGAAAUUAGUUUUUUUUCUUAAAGCUCGAUCCAAAAUAAUGUUAUUGGAAUAAAUGUUCUGAAAAUUGUGGGGCAAGUUGUCACACAGGUUGGGGUAAUAUGUGACAGUUGUGACAAUUUGCCCCAAUGAAGAUUAAGCAUUUUGAAAACAAAUUUUAAUACUAAUAUUUGUGCAUUAACAAUUAUUUGUUUUAUUGAUUCCUUUUUAUGGAUGAUACCUAAAUAGUAUUAAGCGACUUUCUCUUUAAAUAAUGCUGUUUACAAAGGUUAUGCCAGCAUCAACAUACAGAAAAGAUGUCUUCCACGCGCAACAUUCAUUUUAGGAAAGAAGUUACCUAGUCCUACAAUUUAGAUAGGUUGGAAGUGGGUGCAUUGCUGGAAGAAGUGAACAGAUAUUUUACAAAUAUUAUAUAGAAAAAAAUAAACAUUAUUUUGAAGAAAAACCUACAGCUUUCCUACAGCUUUGCUUGUUAGGUCCAAAACUUUUCAGAACCUCCACAUAUAUAUCAUUCUUUCACGACAGCCAGUCAAGGAAACUACUACAAGAACAAGGUCUUGACUUAAUAUGCUAUUUCUUUUGGACAUAGCAAGAUAUGGUGAUUUUUUUUAAUGUGUGACAUUUUACCCCAUGCCUAUGUCAACUUACCCUGGUGUGGGGCAAAUUGUCACAACUUCAACCCAGACACUUUUUUGUUGUAUAACUUUGAUAAAUAAAGAGAUAAAGUUUAUUUCAUUUACUCUAAUUGUUUUCUGAAUGUUUGUUACAGCAUGUUAAGUUUGGUGAGAAUCAAAGAAUUCUAAAUAUGUUUAAAACAUCAAAAUCUGAAAAAUGUGACAACUAGCCCCACCUUCCCCUACUGCUUGUUAACGUAACAAUACUUAGAUGGAGCGACUCACAGCAUAUUUUAAUUUUUUUUUUUGUUUCUUUCUAAUCUCUGGUAUUAUAAACUAAUUCUUUGAGUUUGAAAACUUCUUUUCGUAAGAGGCUUAUAUUUCAAGUCAUUCAAGUUUGGAUUGUGAAGCGGCUAAGAUUUUAAAUUUGUUAUCUUUCUUUUUGUACUGUAAGAAGUAGAAUAUUUUAAAAUUUGUUUGUAAAAUAAAAUCAUAAGCUGUUUAUUUUCAAAUGAAUAUUUACCCAAAUUUUAUACAGGUCUUAAAACACACAGGAAAAAUAAUGACCAACAGUGCAAAAUGUUAAGUUGGUUUUUAGAUCUUUAUGCGACUUACUAAAUGUUGACUUGAUAAUAUAGGCCUACUUUAUAAUUGAUUCACUGCAUAUUGACAUGACAAUAGACAAUGACCUACUGCUUAUUAACGUAAUAAUAUAGAGCGACUCACGGCAUUUUUUUUUGUUUCUAAUCGCUGGUAUAAUCAACAAAUUCUUUGAGUGUGAAAGUUUCUAUUCAGAAGAGGCUUAUACUUCAAGUCAUUCAAGUUUGGAUUGUGAUGCGGGUCUUGAAAAUGGAGGAAAGAUGAUUAAGAUCAAUAAACAACAAUGUGAUGUGCUUCUCUCCAGAACUCAACCUUUCAGUGUGACAUAUAUAUUGGCAUUUAUAUGAAAUUAUUUAAACAUUUUUCAACCUUCAUAAAAUGUCUUGUUUUGUUUGUUAGAGAAUUUUUUGUCUUGACAGCCUUCUGACAAUUGUUUUCUUUAUAGUCACAUAUUUCGUCAGUUUUAAAUGUAAAAAUGUCCAAUUACUUAUUUUGUUUUAAGUUUAUUUAAUUUUAGGUUGUUUAAAUUUUUCUUAUAAUUUUAUAUUUAGCAUAGCUUUAUUAUUUAAUUGUUUUUUUUUGUUUUUCUUUUUUCUGUAUAUUUUUUUAAUCUUAGGAGAAUAAGUCUGAUUCUUUUAGUUUGAAAGUAUUUUUUCAGAAGAGGCUUAUACCUCAAGUCAUUCAAGUUGAUCAUGAGUAGGUCUUGGAAAAUGGAGGAAAGAUGAUUAAGAUCAAUAAACAACAAUGUGAUAUGCUCUCUCCAGAACUCAACAUGUCAGUGUGAUAUUAGCAUUUAGAUGAAGUGAUUUAAACAUUAUUCAAUCUUCAUAAAAUGUCUUGUUUUGUUUGUUAGUGAAUUUUUCUAUGUUGACGGCCAUCUAACAUUGUUUUUGUCUAGAACUACAUACUGUAAGUUUUAAAUGUGAACAUGUCCAAUUACUUAUUUUGUUUUAAGUUUAUUUAAAUUUAGGUUGUUUAAAUUUCUUUUCUUAUAAUUUUAUAUUUAGCAUAAUUUAUUAUUUCAAUGUUUUGUGUUUAAAUCCCUAGGAGAAUAAGUCUCUUUUAGUUUGAAAGUAUUUUUUCAGAAGAUGCUCAAACAUUCAAGUCAUUCUAGUUGGAUUGUGAUGUGGGAAAAGAUGAUGACAGACAGCGCAAAAUUUUGUGGGACAAUAAGGUUAAAGUCUUGGUGAAUGGAGGAAAGAUGAUUAAGAUCAAUAAACAACAAUGUGAUGUGCUCUCUCCAGAACUCAACAUGUCAGUGUGAUAUUGGCAUUUAGUUGAAAUUAUUUAAAUAUUAUUCAACCUUCAUAAAAUGUCUUGUUUUGUUUGUUGUAUUGAAUUUUUUUGUCUUGACGGUCAUCUAACAUUGUUUUUGUCUAGAACUACAUACUGUAAGUUUUAAAUGUGAACAUGUCCAAUUACUUAUUUUGUUUUAAGUUUAUUUAAAUUUAGGUUGUUUAAAUUUCUUUUCUUAUAAUUUUAUAUUUAGCAUAAUUUAUUAUUUCAAUGUUUUGUGUUUAAAUCCCUAGGAGAAUAAGUCUCUUUUAGUUUGAAAGUAUUUUUUCAGAAGAUGCUCAAACAUUCAAGUCAUUCUAGUUGGAUUGUGAUGUGGGUAAGUUUUAAAGUUUGUUAUCAUUCUUUUUUUUUUUGUAAGAAGUAGAAUAUUUAAUAAUUGGUUUGGAAAUUUAAAUUCAAGUUGUUUUUCUUUCACACAUUUUUAUACAUGAAACAUGAAGGAAAAGAUGAUGACAGACAGCGCAAAAUUUUGUGGGACAAUAAGGUUAAAGUCUUGGUGAAUGGAGGAAAGAUGAUUAAGAUCAAUAAACAACAAUGUGAUGUGCUCUCUCCAGAACUCAACAUUAUUUUUUCAGAAGAGGCUCAUACUUCCAAGUCAUUCAUGUUGGAUUGUGAUGUAGUACUUGGAACAUGAAGAAAAAGAUGACGACUAACAAUGCAAAAUUGCAUUAGCACAUUGUGGUUAAAGUUAAGUUGUUUUUAGUUUCUAGAUCUUUAUGCUACUUGUUGAAUGUUGACCUGAUAAUAUACUUUAGAAUUGAUUCACUGCAUGUUGACAUGACAAUAAACAAUGACCAACUGCUUGUUAACGUAACAACAUAGAUCGACUCACAGUAUGUUUUUAUUUAAUUUUUGUUUCUAAUCUCUUGUAUAAUUAAUUAAUUCUUUGAGUUGGAAAGUUUCUUGUUAGAAAAGGCUUAUACUUCAAGUCAUUCAAGUUUGGAUUGUGAUGCGGCUAAGAUUUUAAAUUUGUUAUCUUUCUUUUUUUACUGUAACAAGUAGAAUAUUUAAAAAUAGGUUUGUAAAAUUAAAUCCAUCUUAUUUUCAAAUGAAUAUUUACCCAUAUUUGAUACAGGUCUUGGUGAAUGGAGGAAAGAUGAUUAAGAUCAAUAAACAACAAUGUGAUGUGCUCUCUCCAGAACUCAACAUGUCAGUGUGAUAUUAGCAUUUAGUUGAAAUUAUUUAAAUAUUAUUCAACCUUCAUAAAAUGUCUUGUUUUGUUUGUUGUAUUGAAUUUUUUUGUCUUGACGGUCAUCUAACAUUGUUUUUGUCUAGAACUACAUACUGUAAGUUUUAAAUGUGAACAUGUCCAAUUACUUUUGUUUUAAUUUUAUUUAAUUUUAGGUUAAUUAAAUUUGUUUUCUUAUAAUUUUAUAUUAACAUAGCUUUAUUAUUUCAAUUUUUUGUGUGUUUAAAUCCUUAGGAGAAUAAGUCUAAUUCUUUUAGUUUGAAAGUAUUUUUUCAGAAGAGGCUCAUACUUCCAAGUCAUUCAUGUUGGAUUGUGAUGUAGUACUUGGAACAUGAAGAAAAGAUGACGACUAACAACGCAAAAUUGCAUUAGCACAUUGUGGUUAAAGUCUUGGAAAAUGGAGGAAAGAUGAUCAAGAUCAAUAAACAACAAUGUGAUAUGCUCUCUCCGGAACUCAACAUGUCAGUGUAACAUUAGCAUUUAGUUGAAAUUUUAAAAAUAUUAUUCAGCCUUCAAAAGAUGUCUUAUUUUGUUUGUUAGAGAAUUUUUUUUCUUGACGGCAGUUUUUUUAUAGUAUCAUAUUCCACAAGUUUUAAAUGUGAACAUGCCCAAUUACUUAUUUUGUUUUAAGUUUAUUUAAAUUUAGGUUAUUUAAAUUUGUUUUCUUAUAAUUUUAUACUUGCAUAGCUUUAUUAAUUCCCUUUUUUUGUUUAAAUCCUUAGGAGAAUAAGUCUGAUUCUUUUUGUUUGAAAGUAUUUUUCAGAAGACGCUCAUACUUCCAAGUCAUUCAAGUUGGAUUGUGAUGUUGGUCUUGUAACAUGAAAGAAAAGAUGAUAUCCGACAGCGCAAAAUUGGAAAAACACACUGUUAUUAAAGUUAAGUUAGUUUUUAGAUCUUUAUGCGACUUAACUGAAUGUUGACCUGAUAAUAUAGAAAAUACGAAAAACAUGCAUAUAUGUAACCCUGCCGGACCAAGUAAAACAAAAAGUAAAAAUAAAACCCCUGCAGCAGUAAAUCUUUUUUUUUUUUUUUUUUUUGAGUUUUUGACCUGAUAAUAUAGGCUACUUUAGACUUGAUUCACUGCUUGUUGUCAUGACAAUAAACUAUGACCAAUUGCUUGUUAAUGUAACAAUACUUAGCAUGUUUUGUUUUUUUUGUUUCUAAUCUCUGCUAUAAUUAACUAAUUCUUUGAGUUUGAAAGUAUUUUUUCAGAAGGGGCUUAUACUUUAAGUCAUUCAAGUUUGAUUGUGAUGCACAUAAGAUUUUAAAUUUAUCUUUCUUUUUGUUGUAAGAAGUAGAAGUCUAAGACCUUUUUUAUUUAGAAGUGAAACAAAUGUUUUUUAUGUCCUUUUUUUUAUUAGAAAAAUUGUAUAUUUAAAUUUUUGUAUACAAGUUAUUUUGAGACAAAAUCAUUUAAGUUUGCAAAUAAAAUCUUUAUACCUUUUUCAACACAAUAAUUUGUGUUUUUUGUUUUAGAUCACAAAACAAGGAAGUGAAGUGGGCUCUCCAGAAUUCAACCUUUCCACUGUAACAUAAGUAUUGAGGUGCUUUUUAAAUAUUUUUCAACCUUAAUUUAAUAAUAUAUUUUGUAUUGUGUGUGUGUGUUUUGUCAUGAUAGCAUCUGUUAAAUGUUUUUGUUUAUUAUCUUGUUUUAAGCCAUGUGUACUUUUGUGUUGUUUUGUCAUGUUGACAUAACUUACAGAUACUUUAGACAUACUGAUUUUCGACAUGGAGUGUAGGGUAAUGGGAAAGGUUUUUUUGAUAGUCAUAUUCUUUAAAAUAGUUAAAGCCUGAUAUAUCCCAUCUACCUAGCUCAUGUAUGGCUCUUCUUGCCAUACUCCUAGCAACAGCGUUGACUCACUGGCUGAGUGAAAGCAGUUUGUUACCUACUGAAAUGUUCAGUGUUAAACAUAUUAAGAUUUGUUUCCACAAGGAACAUUGAUUAAUGUAUUUGUUAAUGAUCUACAUCAAUAAUGCAUCAUUAGAAUACAAAUUACAUUUUGUUAUGAAAAUAAAAAAUUCAGACUAUGCUUUUCAACAAAAUUUAGUCAGAUGUUUACUGCCUCACAUUGUUAUAAUUGACAGUAUCUUCAUACUUAUUUUUUUAGUGUUUAAUAAGACUGUUUGUCUGGAUGACUGUUUUUUUUCUUUCUUGGAGAUCUUGGACUGUUGCAAUUGUAAAGGAUAUUGUUUGUUAGAAUUAGACUAUAUUGAUUGUUACAAUAUUGUUUUUGGCUUGAAAUCCUGUAUAGACUAUGAAUGUAUCGUCAAGAAGGUAGAGAGAGUUGUUAUGACUAUAGAUGUGAGAAAUUAGAGAUUGUAGUGUGAGAAAAAUUUGAUUUGAUACAUGUACUUCCAGAAGAGCACUGAUGGUGACAAAUUUUGGAUGCUAUGUAGAAUAAUUAAGUUAAGAUAUGUAGAAUAUGUUUUAUGCUGUUCUCUAUUCAAGUAUGUAUAUUUUUUGUGUGUAAUUUUGCAUAACUAUUGAAAUGAUUCAUGUUGCUAUUUAAUAGAAUACAUUUCAAUUUCUUAUGUCUUUUUACUUCAUGUAGAUAAAAUUGUUAGAUUCAUAGAAACAUCCCAGGGCAUCAGUUGUUACGACAGUAAUCAAUUUCUAUGUCCUGAUAAUAUGAAUUUUAAAUUAUAUCUUGUAUUGUGUUUGGUUCCGCAAGGUAUUGCCGGAAGUGGUAAUGGAUGUAAGCACUCCAAUACCUAUAAAAUGCUUCCUAUUGGCAUGUGUCUCAUAUAGCCUCUGACAACCAGUCCAACUCUUGGCGUGUGGCUCAGAUAUUGAGUCCGGCGAAACUGUUCUCACUAACAGGAGAAGGGGCAAAGGCAAGUAACUGGCGCCUAAACCAGUAAGCUUCGGGCAGGAGGGGCUCAGCCAUGGCUGGCUACCCACCUAAGAAGGAAAACUCUGAAUACAAACCUCUGUUGCAUUUCAGCUAUACCCAAUCAUGGGAAAGGCUUCGGGUGUCAACCCUGAGAAAAAAUCAGGAGCUGGCGACCCUAAGGCAGUUUGCAGCACCCAGUGUUACACUCUGGCAGAACCUGCGACGCCGCUGACCCCAAACUGUAUGGGAACUGCCGUUCCUUUGGAUACAUCAGCUGCGUGGAGAGGGGGGAACUGAUGUGUCGGCGACAUCGUUCCGACCACAGCUAAUGCCCAGGCAUUCAUCUCUUAAUGUGUGAUUUGAUAAAAACAUUAAUUCUUGGUACAAAUUAAGGUUGCAAGUAGUACAGUUAUUAUGCAUUGAAACUUUUCAAUAACUACUUGUACAUAACAAAAUAAUCUGAGUAAUAAAAUUUAAAUUAAAAUGCA